UACGUAGGUGGCGAGCGUUGUCCGGAAUUACUGGGCGUAAAGGGCGUGUAGGCGGCCUUUUAAGUCAGGCGUGAAAUUUCUGGGCUUAACCCGGAACUUGCGUUUGAAACUGGAGGGCUUGAGGAUCGGAGAGGGCAGUGGAAUUCCCAGUGUAGCGGUGAAAUGCGUAGAUAUUGGGAGGAACACCAGUGGCGAAGGCGACUGUCUGGACGACACCUGACGCUGAGGCGCGAAAGCUAGGGGAGCAAACGGG
rnacentral:rRNA from 1 species